AUGGCAAAAAUCAGAAAUUCUAUUGUAUUCUCAAACAUGGCACUCCUACCUUGGAUCAUUUGGAACGAGAGAAAUUCUCGCAUCUUCCGGCACAAGAGCGCUCCACCACCAAUUCUCUUGCGCGCAAUAUGUGAUGAGGCAAACCUUUGGGUUACCGCGGGUGCUAAGCAUCUAGGGAGUAUUAUUAGGCGUGAGUAA
rnacentral:rRNA from 1 species